GCUUGUCUCAAAGAUUAAGCCAUGCAUGUCUCAGUAUAAGCUUUUACACGGCGAAACUGCGAAUGGCUCAUUAAAACAGUUAUCGUUUCUUUGGUGGUUAUUGAUUACAUGGAUAACCGUGGUAAUUCUAGAGCUAAUACAUGCGCCCAGACCCAACUUUUAGGAAGGGUUGUGUUUAUUAGAUAAAAAGCCAAUCCAUGCUCUGCAUGGUAUUGUGGUGACUCAUAAUAACCGAUCGAAUCGCAUGGCGUAAGCCGGCGAUAAAUCAUUCAAGUUUCUGACCUAUCAGCUUCCGACGGUAGGGUAUUGGCCUACCGUGGCUAUGACGGGUAACGGGGAAUUAGGGUUCGAUUCCGGAGAGGGAGCCUGAGAAACGGCUACCACAUCUAAGGAAGGCAGCAGG
rnacentral:rRNA from 1 species